UUGAACGCUGGCGGCUGCUUAACACAUGCAAGUCGAACGGAGUGGCGAACGGGUGAGUAACGCGUGAGCAACCUGCCUAUGACAGUGGGAUAGCCUCGGGAAACCGGGAUUAAUACCGCAUAGUCAUAGAUGGGCUCGCGUCUGAUUAGCUAGUUGGUGAGAUAACAGCCCACCAAGGCGACGAUCAGUAGCCGGUCGCGGAGGAUGGACGGCCACAUUGGAACUGAGACACGGUCCAAAAUCUUACGGGAUGCAGCAGUGUGGAAUAUUGCACAAUGGGGGAAACCCUGAUGCAGCGACGCCGCGUGAACGAAGAAGGUAUUCGGAUCGUAAAGGUCUGUCCUAUGGGAAGCAGUACCAGAGAAGAAAGCUCCGGCUAAAUACGUGCCAGCAGCCGCGGUAAUUC
rnacentral:rRNA from 1 species